GGAUGAGCAGACAACUGGGAUAGUAAAGUCAGCAUCAGCAAUGAAAUAAAAGGAUGAAGUUUUAAAAAAGGAAGACAUUUUAUUGUAAAGAAGACAAAGCAGAAGAGAGAAAGCUUUCCUGAAGAGGGGGCAGGAGGAUUUCAGAAAGAUGGAUUCUCUGUGGGCCUUUGUUCUUGGUCCCUUGUGUUGGCAGUUGUAUCCUAUGUUACUCAGGGAGCAGAGAAUAGUACAGAUGUGAGCCCCCAGCAACACCGAUGCAAAUACUAUCAUCAUCCCCACUUUAUAGACGAAGACCACAAAAUUAUUAUGCAAAGGACACACCAGAGGUAUGAAAAAUGUGCUCUGACAGCAAAGAU
rnacentral:lncRNA from 1 species